UACGGUGGGGGCAAGCGUUGUUCGGAAUUACUGGGCGUAAAGGGCUCGUAGGCGGCCAACUAAGUCAGACGUGAAAUCCCUCGGCUUAACCGGGGAACUGCGUCUGAUACUGGAUGGCUUGAGAUUGGGAGAGGGAUGCGGAAUUCCAGGUGUAGCGGUGAAAUGCGUAGAUAUCGGGAGGAACACCUGUGGCGAAAGCGGCUCACUGGACCACAACUGACGCUGAUGCGCGAAAGCUAGGGGAGCAAACAGG
rnacentral:rRNA from 1 species